rnacentral:rRNA from 1 species
GCCUGGUAGCAAUACUGGGUGAGUAAAGUGGCGCCCGGGUGAGUAACACGUGGAUAACCUACCCUAGAGCGGGGAAUAACCCUGGGAAACCGGGGCUAAUACCGCAUAACACCUGGCGACUGCGGUCGCUGGGUUGAAACCUCGCAAGGGGGCUCAAGGAGGGGUCCGCGCCCGAUUAGCUAGUUGGCGGGGUAACGGCCCACCAAGGCUGUGAUCGGUAGCUGGUCUGAGAGGACGAUCAGCCACACUGGGACUGAGAUACGGCCCAGACUCCUACGGGAGGCAGCAGCAGGGAAUUUUGCGCAAUGGGCGAAAGCCUGACGCAGCAACGCCGCGUGGGGGAUGAAGGCCUUCGGGUUGUAAACCCCUUUCAGGAGGAACGAAAUUGACGGUACCUCCAGAAGAAGCCCCGACCAACUACGUGCCAGCAGCCGCGGUAAUACGUAGGGUGCGAGCGUUAAUCGGAAUUACUGGGCGUAAAGCGUGCGCAGGCGGCGGCUCAAGUCAGGUGUGAAAUCCCCGGGCUUAACCUGGGAAUUGCGCUUGAAACUAGGCUGCUUGAGUGUGGCAGAGGGGGGUGGAAUUCCACGUGUAGCAGUGAAAUGCGUAGAGAUGUGGAGGAACACCGAUGGCGAAGGCA